rnacentral:rRNA from 1 species
AAAGAUUAAGCCAUGCAUGUCUAAGUAUAAGCAGUCUAUACAGUGAAACUGCGAAUGGCUCAUUAAAUCAGUUAUCGUUUAUUUGAUAGUACCUUACUACUUGGAUAACCGUGGUAAUUCUAGAGCUAAUACAUGCUAAAAACCCCGACCUCUGGAAGGGGUGUAUUUAUUAGAUAAAAAACCAAUGCCUUCAGGCUCCUUGGCGAUUCAUGAUAACUUUACGAAUCGCAUGGCCUUGUGCCGGCGAUGGUUCAUUCAAAUUUCUGCCCUAUCAACUUUCGAUGGUAGGAUAGUGGCCUACCAUGGUCU